rnacentral:lncRNA from 1 species
GAAAGAGUGCACUGAAAAAGGAGGACCCUUAUCAACCAAACCCUUUUAAAAAGUACCUUGAAGAAACCAGUGAUCAGGAUACUGAGCAGCCCAGUCAUCCCAUAGUGCCUAUUCCAGAAAAUGAAACACUCGGCUCUGAGGAGCCUUGAAUUAGGAUCCAGAGCUAAAACCGUAAAGGAUUUUGAGGCCUGUUCCUACACUGAGAGGGAAUCCACAAUACAAAUGUUUAAAACACCAUUAAAAAAAAAUUGCUUCUAGUAUACUAAUUGCAAAGCAAUCACAACUAUCAAAUAUUCUAAGAGAUAAUCAUAUGUACUAGACUAAUUAACCCCAGAGAUAUACACAUGAAUAUGGCAUAUUUAUAUAUUGUUUCUUGAAGUGCUUACUGGUUUAAGAGAUGCCCAAAAUAACUCAG